CCUACGGAUGGCAGCAGUGGGGAAUAUUGGACAAUGGGGGGAACCCUGAUCCAGCGACGCCGCGUGAGUGAAGAAGUAUUUCGGUUUGUAAAGCUCUAUCAGCAGGGAAGAAAGAAAUGACGGUACCUGACUAAUAAGCCCCGGCUACCUACGUGCCCGCAGCCGCGGUAAUACGUAGGGGGCAAGCGUUAUCCGGAUUUACUGGGUGUAAAGGGAGCGUAGACGGCGAUGCAAGUCUGAAGUGAAAGGCGGGGGCCCAACCUCCGGACUGCUUUGGAAACGGUAUGGCUGGAGUGCAGGAGAGGUAAGUGGAAUUCCUAGUGUAGCGGUGAAAUGCGUAGAUAUUAGGAGGAACACCAGUGGCGAAGGCGGCUUACUGGACUGUAACUGACGUUGAGGCUCGAAAGCGUGGGGAGCAAACAGGAUUAGAUAGUAGUC
rnacentral:rRNA from 1 species